rnacentral:rRNA from 1 species
AUUGAACGCUGGCGGCAGGCCUUACACAUGCAAGUCGAACGAGUGGCGGACGGGUGAGUAAUGUCUGGGAAACUGCCCGAUGGCGGGGGAUAACUACUGGAAACGGUAGCUAAUACCGCAUACCAUCGGAUGUGCCCAGAUGGGAUUAGCUAGUAGGUGGGGUAACGGCUCACCUAGGCGACGAUCCCUAGCUGGUUUGAGAGGAUGACCAGCCACACUGGGACUGAGACACGGCCCAGACUCCUAUGGGAGGCAGCAGUGGGGAAUAUUGCACAAUGGGCGAAAGCCUGAUGCAGCCAUGCCGCGUGUAUGAAGAAGGCCUUCGGGUUGUAAAGUACUUUCAGCGGGGAGGCGUUACUCGCAGAAGAAGCACCGGCUAACUCCGUGCCAGAAGCCGCGGUAAUAC